rnacentral:snRNA from 1 species
GUGCUUGCUUUGCCAGCACAUAUAAUAAGUUGGAACAAUACAGAGAAGAUUAGUAUGGCCCAUAUACAAGAAUGACAUACAGGGCCGGGCAUGGUGGCUCACACCU